GAUGAACGCUGGCGGCGUGCCUAAUACAUGCAAGUCGAGCGAAUGGAUUAAGAGCUUGCUCUUAUGAAGUUAGCGGCGGACGGGUGAGUAACACGUGGGUAACCUGCCCAUAAGACUGGGAUAACUCCGGGAAACCGGGGCUAAUACCGGAUAACAUUUUGAACCGCAUGGUUCGAAAUUGAAAGGCGGCUUCGGCUGUCACUUAUGGAUGGACCCGCGUCGCAUUAGCUAGUUGGUGAGGUAACGGCUCACCAAGGCAACGAUGCGUAGCCUACCUGACCGGGUGAUCGGCCACACUGGGACUGAGACACGGCCCAGACGGCUACGGGAGGCAGGAAUAGGGAAUCUUCCGCAAUGGGCGAAAGUCUGACGGAGCAACGCCGCGUGAGUGAUGAAGGCUUUCGGGUCGUAAAACUCUGUUGUUAGGGAAGAACAAGUGCUAGUUGAAUAAGCUGGCACCUUGACGGUACCUAACCAGAAAGCCACGGCUAACUACGUGCCAGCAGCCGCAGUAA
rnacentral:rRNA from 1 species